GGGCAGCAUGGUCUUAGCUUGCUAAGGCCGAUGGCGACCGGCGCACGGGUGAGUAACACGUAUCCAACCUGCCGUCUACUCUUGGACAGCCUUCUGAAAGGAAGAUUAAUACAAGAUGGCAUCAUGAGUUCACAUGUUCACAUGAUUAAAGGUAUUCCGGUAGACGAUGGGGAUGCGUCCAUUAGAUAGUAGGCGGGGUAACGGCCCACCUAGUCUUCGAUGGAUAGGGGUUCUGAGAGGAAGGUCCCCCACAUUGGAACUGAGACACGGUCCAAACUCCUACGGGAGGCAGCAGUGAGGAAUAUUGGUCAAUGGGCGAGAGCCUGAACCAGCCAAGUAGCGUGAAGGAUGACUGCCCUAUGGGUUGUAAACUUCUUUUAUAAAGGAAUAAAGUCGGGUAUGUAUACCCGUUUGCAUGUACUUUAUGAAUAAGGAUCGGCUAACUCCGUGCCAGCAGCCGCGGUAAUACGGAGGAUCCGAGCGUUAUCCGGAUUUAUUGGGUUUAAAGGGAGCGUAGAUGGAUGUUUAAGUCAGUUGUGAAAGUUUGCGGCUCAACCGUAAAAUUGCAGUUGAUACUGGAUAUCUUGAGUGCAGUUGAGGCAGGCGGAAUUCGUGGUGUAGCGGUGAAAUGCUUAGAUAUCACGAAGAACUCCGAUUGCGAAGGCAGCCUGCUAAGCUGCAACUGACAU
rnacentral:rRNA from 1 species